CGGACGGGUGAGUAAUGUCUGGGAAACUGCCUGAUGGAGGGGGAUAACUACUGGAAACGGUAGCUAAUACCGCAUAACGUCGCAAGACCAAAGAGGGGGACCUUCGGGCCUCUUGCAAUCAGAUGUGCCCAGAUGGGAUUAGCUUGUUGGUGGGGUAACGGCUCACCAAGGCGACGAUCCCUAGCUGGUCUGAGAGGAUGACCAGCCACACUGGAACUGAGACACGGUCCAG
rnacentral:rRNA from 1 species